rnacentral:rRNA from 1 species
GGCCUCGAAGAGGUAUGUGCACGCCCGAGCUCUUAAAUCCACAACACACCUGUGAACCCACCGUAGGCCUUCGGGCUUAUGUAUCAUAUACUCUGAAUGUGUCAUAGAAUGUUCAUGUUGCCUUAAAACGCAAUCAAAUACAACUUUCAACAACGGAUCUCUUGGCUCUCGCAUCGAUGAAGAACGCAGCGAAAUGCGAUAAGUAAUGUGAAUUGCAGAUUUUCAGUGAAUCAUCGAAUCUUUGAACGCACCUUGCGCUCCUUGGUAUUCCGAGGAGCAUGCCUGUUUGAGUGUCAUUAAAUUCUCAACCCCACCGAUUUGCUUCGGGGGGAUUGGACUUGGAGCGUGCUGGCGAAGGUCGGCUCCUCUUUAAAUGCAUCAGUGGAGAGAAACUCGCCCCAGUGUGAUAAUCCUGUUGCGCUGUGGUGGGCGAAAGUCUGCUACCAACCGUCCCUCCGGGGAAAUA